ACAUUCAAGUGGCUGUUGUGCG
rnacentral:miRNA from 10 species